CCUACGGGAGGCUGCAGUAGGGAAUCUUCCACAAUGGGCGCAAGCCUGAUGGAGCAACGCCGCGUGUGUGAUGAAGGCUUUCGGGUCGUAAAGCACUGUUGUAUGGGAAGAAAUGCUAAAAUAGGGAAUGAUUUUAGUUUGACGGUACCAUACCAGAAAGGGACGGCUAAAUACGUGCCAGCAGCCGCGGUAAUACGUAUGUCCCGAGCGUUAUCCGGAUUUAUUGGGCGUAAAGCGAGCGCAGACGGUUGAUUAAGUCUGAUGUGAAAGCCCGGAGCUCAACUCCGGAAUGGCAUUGGAAACUGGUUAACUUGAGUGUUGUAGAGGUAAGUGGAACUCCAUGUGUAGCGGUGGAAUGCGUAGAUAUAUGGAAGAACACCAGUGGCGAAAGGCGGCUUACUGGACAACAACUGACGUUGAGGCUCGAAAGUGUGGGUAGCAAACAGGAUUAGAUACCCUGGUAGUC
rnacentral:rRNA from 1 species